rnacentral:rRNA from 1 species
GUGAGGAAUUUUGCGCAAUGGGGGAAACCCUGACGCAGCGACGCCGCGUGGAGGACGAAGGCCUUCGGGUCGUAAACUCCUGUCAGAGGUGAAGAAUAUUCGCAAGAAUUUGACGGUAACCUCAGAGGAAGCCCCGGCCAACUACGUGCCAGCAGCCGCGGUAAUACGUAGGGGGCAAACGUUGCUCGGAAUUACUGGGCGUAAAGGGUGAGUAGGCGGUCGUGCAAGUCAAAGAUGAAAUCCCGUGGCUUAACUGCGGAACUGUCUUUGAGACUGCAUAACUUGAGGAUGGUUGAAGAAAACGGAAUUCCCGGUGGAGCGGUGAAAUGCGUAGAUAUCGGGAGGAACACCUGAGGCGUAGGCGGUUUUCUAAGCCACUCCUGACGCUGAAUCACGAAAGCUAGGGGAGCGAACGGGAUUAGAAACCCCAGUAGUCC